CGCGGAGGGAUCAUUAUUAGAAGCCGAAAGGCUACUUAAAACCAUCGCGAACUCGUCCAAGUUGCUUCGGCGGCGCGGCCUCCCUCACGGGGGCGCCGCAGCCCCGCCUCUCCGGAGGUGUGGGGCGCCCGCCGGAGGUACGAAACUCUGUAUUAUAGUGGCAUCUCUGAGUAAAAAACAAAUAAGUUAAAACUUUCAACAACGGAUCUCUUGGUUCUGGCAUCGAUGAAGAACGCAGCGAAAUGCGAUAAGUAAUGUGAAUUGCAGAAUUCAGUGAAUCAUCGAAUCUUUGAACGCACAUUGCGCCCGCUAGUACUCUAGCGGGCAUGCCUGUUCGAGCGUCAUUUCAACCCUCAAGCCCUGCUUGGUGUUGGGGCCCUACGGCUGCCGUAGGCCCUGAAAGGAAGUGGCGGGCUCGCUACAACUCCGAGCGUAGUAAUUCAUUAUCUCGCUAGGGACGUUGCGGCGCGCUCCUGCCGUUAAAGACCAUCUUUAACUCAAGGUUGACCUCGGAUCAGGUAGGAAUACCCGCUGAACUUAAGC
rnacentral:rRNA from 1 species